rnacentral:lncRNA from 1 species
CAGAAAUGCCACAAUGUUGAAAGGAAUGCAUUACAGUUCCCACAAACACACACCCCUCCCUGCAACCACUACAAGAUAUGCAAGCAACUCUGAGCUGACUUGGAUCUAAUUCUUCCCAAUUCAUGCCACAAGCCCAACUCAUCAGCUGAUACCUGAGGAUGAUCCACUGCUCACUGAGCGUGGUCAGGGAGCGCCGCUGUCGGACGAGCAUCUUCAUCAAAUGUGCUGAGAACCCUCUGCACCUCUCCACGUUGCCCAUGCCCAUUUCCUGGCAGAAGAAGGAAAAACAUGCUGAAGGGGCUGCUGACAAACAUCACCCACAGAUGUGCCUCUAGAAAGCUGUUUCUACUAUAAGCGUCAGACAUGCCACACUCUAGAGGUGACAUAUUCAUUUUUUUGAGCAGUGUUUCUCCAAUUAUGCUUGCACAGAUCAUUGAGAUUCCAUAGACAGGAACUGGAUUUAACUCCAAAA